rnacentral:rRNA from 1 species
GACAGAGGGUGCAAACGUUGUUCGGAAUUACUGGGCAUAAAGCGCACGUAGGCGGUUCGCUCAGUCGCAUGUGAAAUCCUCCGGCUCAACCGGGGAAUGGCGUGCGAUACUGGCGAGCUUGAGAUCGGGAGGGGUGAGUGGAACUCCAGGUGGAGCGGUGAAAUGCGUAGAUAUCUGGAGGAACACCGGUGGCGAAAGCGGCUCACUGGCCCGAUACUGACGCUGAGGUGCGAAAGCUAGGGUAGCAAACGGG